AAGGCAGUCUCAAGAUGCGGCAGUUUCAAGCUAGAAUGAGGGUUUGCAUGGUUGAAGGGAUUUUGGUGUGAUGUAACAGACGUGAUGGUCAUACAUACAAACUAGUGGGAAUAAGAGGUGUCGACGAUUAAGUCUUGCAACUCUAGGGCACCUUUUUCACAUCUUUCCUUUGAAUACAAUCUCAAUCUACAAGGGCCAUAAUGGAAGCUACACUAUGCACUCCGGCAACUGUAUGAGGAAUACACACUAGGAGGCAGAAUUAAUCAAGAGGAGCACACCAUCCAGGAGUACCUCAGGCCCAAAAUAGCUAAAUUGGGGCAAGAAAGAUAGUUGAGUCUCAACCUGGAUGUUGGCACUGGUACCGGGUUUCAUCGUUCGGAUUUUUCAAGCAAAAAGCUAAAUGGUAUAUUUGCAACGAACAAUAAUUUAUUAAACUUUAUAUACGUGUUUUAGCGAUAUAAAUUAAAGUAAAUGUGGAAAAAGGAACUAAGAUAAAUAAAAACCCCAA
rnacentral:lncRNA from 1 species